GUUUAACGCUAGCGGUGCGCCUAACACAUGCAAGUCGAGCGUUCUCGCUUCGGCGAGAAGCGGCAAACGGGUGAGUAACACGUUGGUAACCUGCCCCAAAGUGAGGGAUAGCCCACCGAAAGGUGGAUUAAUACCGCAUAUGUCCAGUUUUUCAUAAGAAGAAUUGGGUAAAGCAGCAAUGCGCUUUGGGAAGGGCCUGCGGCGUAUCAGCUUGUUGGUAGGGUAACGGCCUACCAAGGCUAUGACGCGUAGCUGGUGUGAGAGCACGACCAGCCACAAUGGGACUGAGACACGGCCCAUACUCCUACGGGAGGCAGCAGUGAGGAAUCUUCCGCAAUGGGGGAAACCCUGACGGAGCGACACCGCGUGCGGGACGAAUGGCUUUUGCCUGUAAACCGCUUUUCUGAAGGAACAAAUUCUGAGCUCACUUCAGGAAUAAGCACCUGCUAACUACGUG
rnacentral:rRNA from 1 species